rnacentral:rRNA from 1 species
GGCGGACGGGUGAGUAACGCGUAAGAACUUGCCCUUUAGACUGGGAUAACAGAGGGAAACUUCUGAUAAUACUGGAUAAGUUAGUAUAUCGCAUGAUAUGCAAAUGAAAGCUACGGCACUAAAGGAGAGCUUCGCGUCCUAUUAGCUAGUUGGUAAGGUAAGAGCUUACCAAGGCGAUGAUAGGUAGCCGGCCUGAGAGGGUGGACGGCCACAAGGGGACUGAGAUACGGCCCUUACUCCUACGGGAGGCAGCAGUC